UACGGAGGAUGCAAGCGUUAUCCGGAAUGAUUGGGCGUAAAGAGUCCGUAGGUGGUUAUUCAAGUCGAUUGUUAAAGAGCGGGGCUUAACCCCGUAGAAGCAGUGGAAACUGAAUAACUAGAGAGAGGUAGGGUAGAGGGAAUUCCGGUGUAGCGGUGAAAUGCGCAGAUAUCAGGAAGAACACCCGUGGCGAAGGCGGCUCUCUGGGACGGUACUGACGCUGAGACGCGAAGCGUGGGGAGCGAACAGG
rnacentral:rRNA from 1 species